AGAAGAAACUAAAACAAUAUGGGCAGCAGCUCCAACUGGGAGAGAAAGACCGUCGCCGUGUUCUCAAGGAUUUCUCAAAGAUGCUUGAUGACCAGGUAAUGCUAAGAGAUGGAUCUCUGCCAAUUCAUUACUUCAUUCUCCCUGAUCUGAGUUUAACCUGCAGAGUUUAGCUUUUGUGUGGUGUGGACAGUGCAGUGACAGGGGUUGCAGCCUUGUGGGGUCUAAUACAUGUUUCUUACUGCAGCUUUAAGCUUCGCUGUCAUCUAACUCUUUCUAGUUAAUUUUUGUUAUCUGUCUUUGAACCUAUAAAAAUGGGUGAUCUGUACACUUGUCAUCUCCUACAUGUGUUUCCUGAACAUGCCUAAAGCUUUUAUAAGAAAUGCAGUUCUGAGCUCAGGCAAUCGUAGGAUGACUAGACACAUACUACAUAUGAUUUGAGAUGUAUAUGUAUGCUAAUUGAUGUUUCGAGGGGUGCUCAUAUACUUCCUUGGCAACAUGGAAACUUUCACAUUUGGUCUAGUUGUCUCUAUGGGUUAGCGACUUAGCAUACAUGUUGUAAUCAACUUUCACAUUUGCUUCUCUGACAAGUACGGUCUACUUUCAUUCAUAGGUAGAAGAUAGCAACAGAGUGGGAAGGUUUGUGCAGAGAUCUUACCUCGAGGUUAUCGCAGAUGCGCACAAUAUGACACUGAAUUGGCCAAAAAUAGGGAGCUACAAGAUGAACUUUUAAAGGUUAAGACCUCACUGUCUGCUUCAACGAAGAGAUUUGAAGAGUUGCAAAAGGUAAUUUUGGGGCAAAUUUCCAUUGCUGCAGGAUAAUGAGAUGUUGAAGCGGCAGACUGAAUCCAUGACACCGAAGUGCAAUUGCGGCAGAUUAUCUCUAUUUUUCCUUUUCAUUUUUCUUAUUAUUGGAGUGAGAACAGGUAGAAUGAGGAACUGUGUGAUAGUAGAUACAACAACUGUAGUAGAAAGAAACUUAUGUUUGCAAUUGUUAAUGACAUAUAUACUUGCAUGUUCUUUGAAGUGGU